rnacentral:pre_miRNA from 1 species
UUUUUGUCUGCCGUGCGGUCACAUUUCACUGGUGGGCUGAUGCGUCCGAUCUUUCUAAACACCAUCAGCUGCCCGGUGAAGUGUAGUCGCGCGGACAGGUGGUCUGCGAA